rnacentral:rRNA from 1 species
UACGAAGGGUGCAAGCGUUGUCCGGAAUCAUUGGGCGUAAAGCGCGCGUAGGCGGUCCGGUAAGUCCGCUGUGAAAGUCGAGGGCUCAACCCUCGAAUGCCGGUGGAUACUGUCGGGCUAGAGUACGGAAGAGGCGAGUGGAAUUCCUGGUGUAGCGGUGAAAUGCGCAGAUAUCAGGAGGAACACCAAUUGCGAAGGCAGCUCGCUGGGACGUUACUGACGCUGAGACGCGAAAGCGUGGGGAGCAAACAGG